GAAUUCCACAAAACUUACAUAAUAGUAUUUUUCAGACUAAUAUGCCCUUAUAAAAAAUUUCUCUCAAAAAUUCAUCUUUUUAUAUACUCAUAUGUUAAAAUUAUUGACUUUGAAACUUUGAUCACUAAUGUGCUCAAUAGAAUUUACUACAACCAAUAUUUUAUAUUGUCUUAACUUUUUAAUAUCUAACCUAUUAUGUGCUUAGUAGUGACACUAUUAAUGCAGUAUGGGAAGAUAG
rnacentral:misc_RNA from 1 species